GACGAACGCUGGCGGCGUGCUUAACACAUGCAAGUCGAACGGAAAGGCCCUGCUUGCAGGGUGCUCGAGUGGCGAACGGGUGAGUAACACGUGGGUGAUCUGCCCCUUACUUUGGGAUAAGCCUGGGAAACUGGGUCUAAUACUGGAUAGGACCAUGCUGUAGGGGGUGUGGUGGAAAGAUUAGUUUCGGUAAGGGAUGAGCUCGCGGCCUAUCAGCUUGUUGGUGGGGUAAUGGCCUACCAAGGCGUCGACGGGUAGCCGGCCUGAGAGGGUGGGCGGCCCGAUUGGGACUGCGAUACGGGCCAGACUCCUACGGGAGGCAGCAGUGGGGACAAUUGCACAAUAGGCGCACGCCUGAUGCAGCGACGCCGCGUGGGGGAUGAAGGCCUUCGGGUUGUAAACUCCUUUCAGCCAUGACGAAGCCCUUGUGGUGACGGUAGUGGUAGAAGAAGCACCGGCUAACUACGUG
rnacentral:rRNA from 1 species